UACGGGAGGCAGCAGUGGGGAAUAUUGCACAAUGGGCGCAAGCCUGAUGCAGCCAUGCCGCGUGUAUGAAAAAGGCCUUCGGGUUGUAAAGUACUUUCAGUCGCGAGGAAGGUGUUAAGGUUAAUAACCUUAGCAAUUGACGUUAGCGACAGAAGAAGCACCGGCUAACUCCGUGCCAGCAGCCGCGGUAAUACGGAGGGUGCGAGCGUUAAUCGGAAUUACUGGGCGUAAAGGGCACGCAGGCGGUUAAUUAAGUUGGAUGUGAAAUCCCCGGGCUUAACCUGGGAAUGGCAUUCAAGACUGGUUAGCUAGAGUCUUGUAGAGGGGGUAGAAUUCCAUGUGUAGCGGUGAAAUGCGUAGAGAUGUGGAGGAAUACCGGUGGCGAAGGCGGCCCCUGGACAAAGACUGACGCUCAUGUGCGAAAGCGUGGGGAGCAAACAGGGAUUAGAUACC
rnacentral:rRNA from 1 species